GCCAGGCACGCUGGUGCACACCUGUAAUCCCAGUGGCUCUGGAGGCUGAGACAGAAGGAUCACAAGUUCAUGGCCAACCUCAGCAAAUUACCGAGGCCCUAGGCAACUUGGUGAGACUCUGUCUCAA
rnacentral:sRNA from 1 species